rnacentral:rRNA from 1 species
AGAGUUUGACUCUGGCUCAGGAUGAACGCUAGCUACAGGCUUAACACAUGCAAGUCGAGGGGAAACGACAUCGAAAGCUUGCUUUUGAUGGGCGUCGACCGGCGCACGGGUGAGUAACGCGUAUCCAACCUGCCCACCACUUGGGGAUAACCUUGCGAAAGUAAGACUAAUACCCAACGAUAUCUCUAGAAGACAUCUGAAAGAGAUUAAAGAUUUAUCGGUGAUGGAUGGGGAUGCGUCUGAUUAGCUUGUUGGCGGGGUAACGGCCCACCAAGGCAACGAUCAGUAGGGGUUCUGAGAGGAAGGUCCCCCACAUUGGAACUGAGACACGGUCCAAACUCCUACGGGAGGCAGCAGUGAGGAAUAUUGGUCAAUGGACGAGAGUCUGAACCAGCCAAGUAGCGUGCAGGAAGACGGCCCUAUGGGUUGUAAACUGCUUUUAUAAGGGAAUAAAGUGAGUCUCGUGAGACUUUUUGCAUGUACCUUAUGAAUAAGGACCGCUAAUUCCGUGCCAGCAGCCGCGGUAAUACGGAAGGUCCGGGCGUUAUCCGGAUUUAUUGGGUUUAAAGGGAGCGUAGGCCGGAGAUUAAGCGUGUUGUGAAAUGUAGAUGCUCAACAUCUGAACUGCAGCGCGAACUGGUUUCCUUGAGUACGCACAAAGUGGGCGGAAUUCGUGGUGUAGCGGUGAAAUGCUUAGAUAUCACGAAGAACUCCGAUUGCGAAGGCAGCUCACUGGAGCGCAACUGACGCUGAAGCUCGAAAGUGCGGGUAUCGAACAGGAUUAGAUACCCUGGUAGUCCGCACGGUAAAC